rnacentral:rRNA from 1 species
UGGGGAAUAUUGCACAAUGGGCGCAAGCCUGAUGCAGCCAUGCCGCGUGUAUGAAGAAGGCCUUCGGGUUGUAAAGUACUUUCAGCGGGGAGGAAGGGAGUAAAGUUAAUACCUUUGCUCAUUGACGUUACCCGCAGAAGAAGCACCGGCUAGCUCCGUGCCAGCGGCCGCGGUAAUACGGAGGGUGCAAGCGUUAAUCGGAAUUACUGGGCGUAAAGCGCACGCAGGCGGUUUGUUAAGUCAGAUGUGAAAUCCCCGGGCUCAACCUGGGAACUGCAUCUGAUACUGGCAAGCUUGAGUCUCGUAGAGGGGGGUAGAAUUCCAGGUGUAGCGGUGAAAUGCGUAGAGAUCUGGAGGAAUACCGGUGGCGAAGGCGGCCCCCUGGACGAAGACUGACGCUCAGGUGCGAAAGCGUGGGGAGCAAACAGGAUUAGAUACCCUGGUAGUCCACGCCGUAAACGAUGUCGACUUGGAGGUUGUGCCCUUGAGGCGUGGCUUCCGGAGCUAACGCGUUAAGUCGACCGCCUGGGGAGUACGGCCGCAAGGUUA